CGAAAGGAACUCAAUCCAACCAGCUGAGCGUUCCGAACGAACCCCAUCAGAGCCAACGAACCCACCGCCACCGACCGGUCGACUGAUUGAAAUACAUUUUUAACGAACUUCAGUCCCAUUCGUAUCCCGUUCGCCAUCGGACGCGCGUAGCUCCUUGGCCUCUGGUUCGUCCGUUUGAAUCCGCAUGAUUUGUGUUAGAAAAAGUUGCACCCUCUGCGAUAGACUUGUCUCGUUCGUUGUUUUGCACGCCCUCCGGGCAACUCACGCGGAGAAAAGAAAACUCGAGGACAUUUAAUUAAACUUAAUGAAGGAUCAUCAUCUUUGGUGAACCCCACGCCCGACGAAGGCAUGCCACGAACUUUGCUGCGCCGGGGCUCUCGCAGUGAUUUGUGAUGGUCGGUGGGUGGUCCCCGACUGGUCAUUAUUUGCGUGAAUCUCCGCCGGACGCAUUCCUUUGGACCUGACCGGAGGGUUGUUUACCCUGGUGAUUAGCUAGCCGCCUACUACGGCUCUUGAUGAAAACACAUCUCCUCCAUUAUGUGUGCGCUCCUGGGAAAAUCCAUCACUAUCACUCACCCUGGUCUGUGCUGUAAGGAUUAUCAUCGGGCUGGGCUGACCGACGUUCUAUGCUGCUGUGAGUGAGUGCGAAAGAAGUGCGAUUGAGGAAGAAGACCACAGUGCUCGUUCAGUAGAGCAGCAAGCAACAAACAACCGAAAGAAGUGAAUUAAGUAGCUUUCAACGACAAGAGUUUCUGUUGCCAGUGUCAGACCCUUGAAGGAAGUUUCGGUGAACCUUCGGUGGUGAAGAAGUGUGUGGUGCUGGGGUGUAAGUGAAAAAGUAGGCAAAAGUCGACCUCAAGCCACCCCGGAGAGAGAGGCCGGAAAGUUUGUGUGCCUUGGCGAAGUUUGCAUGUUUCCGAGUGCGUCGUCGUCGUCGUCAUCGUCGGUGGAGUUGAUCAGCCUGGUACAACCAAAAAGAUUGUUCGAAUCAGCAGUGCAGUGCGUCUCCCGAAAAGGACACAGGAACGGGAAAUGACGAGCGAGCGAUCUGAAUUGAAAUCGUUCACCCUGCCGUACACCGCCCGUUGUUCGUGAACGAACAAGAGUGAAAGAGUUCCGGUGAUUUUGCUUUAUUUGGUGAAAGGAUUUGCCAGCUGGCGGCGCCGGAGAAUGCUGGUGAAAAUUGUCGUAGGAGUUCUGAGCCGGAUACUGAUCCUGACAGGCAUAUUCCCGCUGCAGCUCAAGCG